GGAUGAGAUUGUUGAGUAAGUUGACAUGUAAACCUAUGAGCUGUGACUUCCUCCUUCCGAGCAGUGUAGAGCCAGAGACUUCCUUCACCACUUUAAUGUAGUUUCAUCUUAGACCAUAGUUUCAGAAAAAAGCAGCAAAAUUUCCAAACUUUCUCACUUCUGUUUUUUUGGCACAGUGUAAGGAGCAGUAAUGGCGUUGCAGUGUUUUGUCCUCCUGGUCAUUUUCCUUAGUAAAUGCCUUGGACAUACUGAAUUCAUUUAUACAGCAAAGGAUGAAGUAAAAUUGUUUUGCGACACCAACAAAUGGGAAAUAAGCACAAAGUCUGACAACAACAUUGAUGUGAAUUGCACAGUGGAGUGUGUUCAUGGUGAAGCACUCAAACUUAAUAAUACCCAGAAUUCCUGCAAAAAUAAAGAUUCGUUCAAAGUUGGUGAAAAAUGUUCGCUAAUAGCGAGCAGUGGAUUUUAUCGAUGUGUUACUGCUCUGGAUUCUGGUUUCUUAUUUCCAUUCAAACCGUCUCCCAACACUGUCACGUCGUACAUAGUCGCCACUGCAAAUGAAGAAAUGACAAACAAGUCUGAGGAAAGAUCUUCAGUCGAGCUAACUGAAGGUGAAGAUGUACUUUUAAACUGCAGUGACAUCUUUACAGAAGAAUAUGACAACCAGGACUUUGUAGUGUACUGGAUCAAGACCAUUGGAAAGAACAGUACCUGUGUGUCUUCUUAUGAUUUUGAUUUAUAUACUCGUAUAACAUACAAUCCCCACUGCAAUGUGCAAGAAGAACUGCUUUACAGACUCUCAAACCAAACUGAAGGCAAAAUCACCCAUAACAUCAGGAUCAGUAACGUAACAGACUCAGAUGCUGGACAAUAUCUUUGUGCCUUACAAGUGCGCACACGUGCACACACGUAUCAAGUGCACACACGUGAUAAAACAAAAGGAAAGUGGAAGAUCAUAAAUAAUAUUACAGUCAGUGUACAUAAAGACAAAGGACCUGAAAUAGCUGGAAACAGUGCUGACCUCAACCCUAAAGAUCCCAUUCCUAAAGACAAAGCAUCUGAAAGCACUGGAAACAGCACUGAGUCUCUGAUCCGCUUGUGUGUUACACUGCCAGUAAUACUGGGUAUUCCGGCAGCUCUUAUGGUGGUAUAUUUAUGGAAAAAGAUGAAAAUUUCACCAAGAUCUCAGGCUAUGGAACUGCAAACGUAAGCUCCUGCAUUCAUAAUUAGAUUUGCUUUAAACGAAUAUGACCCUCAUUAAUGUCUCUGUUGUCCUAAUUCCUGUGAUAUUUAUUUUUCGUCCAUUUCCAGAAUCCAACAUUGAGAAGAAACUCCUGAUAUGAACUUUGAGGCAUGAGAGUAACACAGCACUUAGGAAGAGCUGACGUUUAAAACGUGUUAAAUAUGUGCUCUUUAUUAUGCUUUCUUUUACUUAUUGAAACUCUCCCAAUACUGUCCCAGCAUGUGUCUUUCUCAUUUCAAACCUACAAAAUUAGUCCAUUUAAUAAAUCUGACUUUGGGUCAAAUUUAAUGGUUCUGUAUUUUCUUUCUAAGUAUAAAAAAGCAUUAGAAUGUUUUUAUUGAUGAAAAGACA
ensembl:lncRNA